rnacentral:rRNA from 1 species
AUUGAACGCUGGCGGAAUGCUUUACACAUGCAAGUCGAACGGCAGCAUAGAGAGCUUGCUCUCUGAUGGCGAGUGGCGAACGGGUGAGUAAUAUAUCGGAACGUACCUAGUAAUGGGGAACAACCAGCCGAAAGGUUGGCUAAUACCGCAUACGACCUACGGGUGAAAGCAGGGGAUCUUCGGACCUUGCGUUAUUAGAGCGGCCGAUAUCUGAUUAGGUAGUUGGUGGGGUAAAGGCCUACCAAGCCGACGAUCAGUAGCUGGUCUGAGAGGACGAUCAGCCACACUGGAACUGAGACACGGUCCAGACUCCUACGGGAGGCAGCAGUGGGGAAUUUUGGACAAUGGGGGCAACCCUGAUCCAGCCAUUCCGCGUGAGUGAAGAAGGCCUUCGGGUUGUAAAGCUCUUUCGCAAGAGAAGAAAUCUUACUAUCGAAUAAAUAGUAAGGAUGACGGUAUCUUGACAAGAAGCACCGGCUAACUACGUGCCAGCAGCCGCGGUAAUACGUAGGGUGCGAGCGUUAAUCGGAAUUACUGGGCGUAAAGCGUGCGCAGGCGGUUUUAUAAGUCAGAUGUGAAAUCCCCGAGCUCAACUUGGGAACUGCGUUUGAAACUGUAAGACUAGAGUGUGUCAGAGGGGGGUAGAAUUCCACGUGUAGCAGUGAAAUGCGUAGAUAUGUGGAGGAAUACCAAUGGCGAAGGCAGCCCCCUGGGAUAACACUGACGCUCAUGCACGAAAGCGUGGGGAGC